rnacentral:rRNA from 1 species
AUUGAACGCUGGCGGCAGGCCUAACACAUGCAAGUCGAGCGAGCGGCGGACGGGUGAGAAAUGUCUGGGAAACUGCCUGAUGGAGGGGGAUAACUACUGGAAACGGUAGCUAAUACCGCAUACCCUCAGAUGUGCCCAGAUGGGAUUAGCUCGUAGGUGGGGUAACGGCUCACCUGGGCGACGAGCCCUAGCUGGUCUGAGCGGAUGACCAGCCACACUGCAACUGAGACACGGUCCAGACUCCGACGGGAGGCAGCAGUGGGGAAGAUUGCACAAUGGGCGCAAGCCUGAUGCAGCCAUGCCGCGUGUGUGAAGAAGGCCUUCGGGUUGUAAAGCACUUUCAGCGGGGAGGCGUUACCCGCAGAAGAAGCACCGGCUAACUCCGUGCCAGCCGCCGCGGUAAUAC